GUGGGGCUCGUUAGCCGUGGUAGGCAAUCUGCCUAGGAGAGCAAACUCCGAACAACAAACCCGGGCAGGUGAGGUUCGUUAGCCGUGGUAGGCAAUUCACCUAGGAGAGCAAACUCCGAACAAUAAACCCGGGCAGGUUGGGCUCGUGAGCCGUCAUAGGUAAUACACCUAGGAGAGCAAACUCCGAACAAUAAACCCGGGCAGGUUGGGCUCGUGAGCCGUCAUAGGUAAUACACCUAGGAGAGCAAACUCCGAACAAUAAACCCGGGCAGGUUGGGCUCGUGAGCCGUCAUAGGUAAUACACCUAGGAGAGCAAACUCCGAACAAUAAACCCGGGCAGGUGAGGUUCGUUAGCCGUGGUAGGCAAUUCACCUAGGAGAGCAAACUCCGAACAAUAAACCCGGGCAGGUGGAGCUCGUCAGCCGUGGUAGGCAGUCUGCCUAGGAGAGCAAACUCCGAACAAUAAACCCGGGCAGGUGGAGCUCGUCAGCCGUGGUAGGCAGUCUGCCUAGGAGAGCAAACUCCGAACAAUAAACCCGGGCAGGUGGAGCUCGUCAGCCGUGGUAGGCAGUCUGCCUAGGAGAGCAAACUCCGAACAAUAAACCCGGGCAGGUGGAGCUCGUCAGCCGUGGUAGGCAGUCUGCCUAGGAGAGCAAACUCCGAACAAUAAACCGGGGCAGGUGGAGCUCGUCAGCCGUGGUAGGCAGUCUGCCUAGGAGAGCAAACUCCGAACAAUAAACCGGGGCAGGUGGAGCUCGUCAGCCGUGGUAGGCAGUCUGCCUAGGAGAGCAAACUCCGAACAAUAAACCCGGGCAGGUGGAGCUCGUCAGCCGUGGUAGGCAGUCUGCCUAGGAGAGCAAACUCCGAACAAUAAACCCGGGCAGGUGGGGCUCGUUAGCCGUGGUAGGCAAUCUGCCUAGGAGAGCAAACUCCGAACAACAAACCCGGGCAGGUGAGGUUCGUUAGCCGUGGUAGGCAAUUCACCUAGGAGAGCAAACUCCGAACAAUAAACCCGGGCAGGUUGGGCUCGUGAGCCGUCAUAGGUAAUACACCUAGGAGAGCAAACUCCGAACAAUAAACCCGGGCAGGUGGAGGUCGUUAGCGAAAGCAGUUCAUCUAGGAGAGCAAACUCCGAUUACAAAACCGGGCAGGUGGAGGUCGUUAGCGUGAGCAGUUCACCUAGGAGAGCAAACUCCGAUUACAAACCCGGGCAGGUGAGGUUCGUUAGCCGUGGUAGGCAAUUCACCUAGGAGAGCAAACUCCGAACAAUAAACCCGGGCAGGUGGAGCUCGUCAGCCGUGGUAGGCAGUCUGCCUAGGAGAGCAAACUCCGAACAAUAAACCCGGGCAGGUGGAGCUCGUCAGCCGUGGUAGGCAGUCUGCCUAGGAGAGCAAACUCCGAACAAUAAACCGGGGCUUGUGGUGCUCGUUAGAUGUCGUAGACAAUCCACGU